AGCGAACGCUGGCGGCGUGCUUAACACAUGCAAGUCGAGUGCGUAGCCCUUUGUAGCAAUACAGGGGGUGGGCGCACGGCGCACGGGUGAGUAACACGUGGGUAACCUGCCCUUCGGUGGGGAAUAACCCCGCGAAAGCGGGGCUAAUUCCGCAUAACAUUCCGGGGACACAUGUUCUCGGACUCAAAGGAGUGAUUCGCCGGAGGAGGGCCCGCGCCCGAUUAGCUUGUUGGUAGGGUAACGGCCACCAAGGCUUUGAUCGGUAGCCGGUCUGAGAGGAUGGCCGGCCACACUGGAACUGAGACACGGUCCAGACUCCUACGGGAGGCAGCAGUGGGGAAUUUUGGACAAUGGGGCAACCCUGAUCCAGCCAUUCCGCGUGAG
rnacentral:rRNA from 1 species